AUCUAAAUAGCUUAUAGAAGAGUUUAGUUUUGAAGAAACUAAGGAAAUAAUUAUUAUUUUUAGAUA
rnacentral:tRNA from 1 species